ACUUUUCCAAUUUGCCCUCCCGCAUCGUUCGUUCACUGUCCGCACCGCUCGCUCGCUCAGUUGCUCACAGCGCUAGCUCCACUCGCUCUCCCAGUCACUCUCCCAGAUCCGCUCGUCGGCGGCCCGCGUCCCCAUCGCCAGCCUCCCCUCUGCCACUCCCCCUCGACGUCGGUCUCCCCUCUGCCUCUCCCUCUCGACGUCGCCGGCCUCUUCCACCACCCGUCCUCCAGUCACAGUCUGUAUGCGCCGCUGAAAAAUUUGAUUUUUUUCCGCCGGUGACGAGCUUCUAUGCGGUGGAGGCGCGCGGGCGCUCGAUCUACGUGCGCCGGUGGAUCUACCCCUCCCCAGCUCCUACCUCCACCCCUACAGAAGGCGAAGAAGACUCGGCCCAGCUCCCUCCUCUCCCGGAUCCCCAGGCCCAGCACGACGUCGCCGGCGCCCGGGCGCUUGAAGAGGCGGAAUCGGAGCUGCUGCUGGUGGUGGAGGCCCCCGGGGGAGGCGCUGGGGGAGGAGGCCUCCGCCGCGUCCUUGGGCGGGCUGCCCAGGCCGUCAGUCCGCGGCGAGCGCAGGGAGCCACUAGUGGCGAACAAUUCCGUGGCGGCGGCGCCGGACUACGGGGACUACAGGGAGUUCCUGUCCCAUUACUGCAGGUGGGGUGUAGUUGAGGUCUGGGAGAUCCAUGUUAUCCAAGCAACUGAAAAGAACAUUUAAGGAUCUCUCCUGGCCAUGGAUCCAAGUACUGAAAUAGGGGUCUUCUCUCCUCUUAAGUAGAGUAAGUACUCCAUUACUCUACUCCUAGAUAAACAUAUCAACAUGAUGCAAAUUGUUGGAGUAAAAAGCAACAUGGUACUGCAAUUUCAGUACAUUUAAUUAUUUCAAUCAUAUUCAGUGUACUCCAAGUCAGUGGUACAACAUAUCUACAGUUGAUCAUUUCAGUAGAAACUUGCUAAACUGAAACAUUUCUGGAGUAGCUGCUAAUUUUUGCUGCUGUCAAUCAAGAUAAACUUGAAACUUGCUAUCCUAUUCUGAAGGAGGUGAUUUCAUACUAGAUGUCAGACAUUCUUGCAGUAGCUCUAGGAGGAGCUGCAGGAGGUUUGGCAUUAGUUGGUGCCAUCACACUCAUUGUAGUGAUAUGCCUACCGCACCGCGGAAGGAAUUCAGAUUCUUCAGAGAGUAAUUCGUCCGGUCAAGCUCUUCCAGACAUGCAAGGAGCAACAUGUAUGACACUGGAGGAACUAAGGUCUGCUACAAAUAACUUCAGCAGCUCGAAUCUCGUCGGACAUGGAAUGUUCGGAGAGGUAUACAACGGUUUGCUCCAUGGAUAGGAUAGGUACUGCAGACAGACAGUGGGCCACUGUAUAUUGCCCUAACAUAGCAUGGCUGAAAUAGAAUCAGUUUUUUCUCUUCUAUUUUUCAGAUGAGAGACAGCUUUACAGAAAUGAAAAUCACACUCCAAAAAGGGUUUUCGUCGCAAAAUUAGGCAGAAAAGAUGAACCUAGGCCAGCAGCUCCUGUGCAGCGGCGAGUACUUCAGCGGCAGCAGCUCCUGUGUGUGGUGAGUGCUUCAGCGGCAGCAGCUCCCCUGGGUGCGUGCGGGCACCAGCUCGCCUUCACCAGCAGCCAGCAGCAGAGCAGCAGCUCGACUCCACCAGCAGACAGCAGCAGAGCACCAGCCCGCCUCCACGAGCAGGCGACAGCAGAGCAUCACCUAGGCGUGCGCGGUCCAGGAGGAGCCCUAGGACGGCGUGGGUGGAGGUGGAGGCGGGGGCCGAGGCGGAGGUGGAGAGCGGGGACGAAGGCGGAGGCGGAGGUGGAGGCGGGGGCGGAGGCGGAGGUGGAGGGCAGGGGCGGAGACGGAGGUGGAGGGCGGGGCCGGAGGCGGAGGUGGAGGGCAGGGGCGGUGGCGGAGGUGGAAGACGAUCCAGCGACCUGAUUCAAAAUUUAAACUAAGGUGCGUCUGAAAAGGGAAUUGCUACAUGUCAGUCGGCGGAUCUUUUCUGAAAGAUCCGCCGCCUCAACAACCAUUAUAUGUGGCGACAUCAAGCGACCCCCCAUGCUCUCAUCAUUCCAACAAAGGCAAUCUUGCAGUGCUUCUGAAAAGGGAACUGCUACACGUCGGUCGGCGGAUCUUUUUUGAAAGAUCCGCCGCCUCAACAACCAUUACAUGUGGCGACAUCAAGUGACCCAACCAUGCUCUCAUCAUUUCAACAAAGGCAAUGUUGCAGUGCUUCUGAAAAGGGAACUGCUACGCGUCGGUCGGUGGAUCUUUUCUGAAAGAUCCGCCGCCUCAACAACCAUUACAUGUGGCGACAUCAAGUGACCCAACCAUGCUCUCAUCAUUUCAACAAAGGCAAUGUUGCAGAACCUUUUGCAACAAAGCUCAUGUUGCAAAAACUUUUGAACAGGGGUUGUGUUGCGGGAAAAAAAUCAGCUUCACAUUUUUGCAACAUAGGUGAUGUCGCGGAAGGACUUCUACAACAUGAAUGAUGUUGCGGAAACAUUUUGCAAUCAAAGAUGAUGUUGAAUUGCCGUCUAGUCGUUUCCUUCUUUGCCAUAGAAGCCUUGUUGCAAACACUAUCUCGUGUGGAUAAGGAUAGACUGCGACAUGUGGCUAGUGUGAGUUGUAGCAUGCGUGGGCCACAUCCACUUGUCAUCCAUGGGAGGCGACGGGCAAAACUCAUGAAAUCUGCCGGUUGAAGGGGAUCAUUUCCCUUCCGAAAAUCACUCACGACUGCUGAUUUUGAUUUGAAGGAAAAAAAUCAAAUCCGGAAGCUUACUUCCUUACAAUAUGCAUUGGUCCUUAGUUUUAGGAAACAAAUCAAAUCCGACAGCUUGCUUCCUUAGGAAGCAAAAUUUGUGUUCGGUGCAACUAAUGCGUGCAUCCACCCUUGUUUGUAAUGUUGCCUAUCAAUUCACAACAAAUUAAUUUAUGUUUCGUUCAUUGGAGAAUUUGCUUCUAUGGUAAAUGAUAUCUGCUUCGAUUUAUUUGAAAGUUUUUCUCCUUUGUAAUGUGAUAUUUUUUAACAAAAGAAUCACUAUCUUGCUUCUAUAAACCAUACAAUUGGUAUAAGCCUGCUUCCAUCAAAAAGGAAAUAUUCCACAUGUUUGAGAAGGAUCACAAUCUUGUUUCCAUCUACUAAUAAUUGUUUCCAACCAAAUUAUUAUAUUGCUUCCACUAAAGAGAAAGAUAUUUCCAGUCAUAAUUACACCAUGGUUCUAAUUCAAAUGAAGGGUUUGUUUGCUGAAAGGACAUGCGGUGCCCCCAUGUGUGGUUUUGGUAAUUGAUGA